rnacentral:rRNA from 1 species
AUGUCAACUAUAAAUCGCCCUUCUUCUAUCAGAGCUAAGAUUGGGUGUAGGUCGAUAGCUCAGCUCCCUGCCACUGCUGAAGGAGUGCUGGCAGGACGUUUCUACAGGUUUACUUAUGAGGUUGAGGAGGUUUUGGUCAAGAAUCCUGGGAAUGCAGAAGAGGAGGAUCCCAUCCCUGUGGAUGGAACCAAGGCUGAUCAGACUCCUAAGAGGAAACGUACUGAACAUGAGAGAGGGGUGCAGCAGCCUGAGUCUGCUGGACAUGGCAAUACAGGGGGCUCCUAUCGU